rnacentral:lncRNA from 1 species
GAGGACAAAUGAAAAGUAAUUUUAUUUUUGUUUAACCUUAAACUUACCAAACUGCUUCUUUCUUUGAACAGCAGUUAUCUUCUGUUUGAUAUCCAACUGCACUUACACUGAAAAGUAGUGAAAACUACUUAACGAUUCCACUUUGAAGUUAUAAGCAUACAACUGUUAAUUUGUUUAAACAACAAUAAUAAUUAUGUUUUUCCAGAAUAAAAAUUAAAUCAUCUGUUGAAGAUACUACUAAAAAUACUUCACCUUUCGAAUACAGCCCCUACACUAUGAUCUAUAGGAAUUUUUCCAAUUAAGUUUCAAUCUUCCCACAACCUGUUUUUUUUUUUA